rnacentral:rRNA from 1 species
UACGUAGGGUGCGAGCGUUAAUCGGAAUUACUGGGCGUAAAGCGCGCGCAGGCGGCGGUGCUGGCCCGGCGUGAAAGCCCCCGGCUCAACCGGGGAGAGUCGUCGGGGACCGCACCGCUUGAGGGCGGUAGGGGCUGGUGGAAUGCCUGGUGUAGUGGUGAAAUGCGUAGAGAUCAGGCAGAACACCUGGGGCGAAGGCGGCCAGCUGGGCCGUCCCUGACGCUGAGGCGCGAAGGCGUGGGGAGCGAACGGG